CCGCAACCUCGCCGCAGCCUCGCCUUCGAACACACCAUCCGCACACUUGGCACGGCGCACGCCACCACAGCCGAGGCCAAAGACGCAGCCAGAAACAACCUGGGUUCCGAUUCAAGACCUCUGGGUGCUGUGAGCUGCCGUGUUGUUACCGCGCUCACAGUUUUCCAGGCUUAUAAAAACACAUAAUAUCUAAUCACAGAAAACCCUAUUUUACCGCCAUCACUCCGUAUCAUCGCCAAAUAUUACACCCGGCUCUACGUCUGCAACACCCCAGACUUGUUCACCCCAGACUUGAGUAUGUUGUAAACAUAAGCACAUCCCUCUCACUAAUGUGAAAAUCUGCUUUCAUCUGUAAUAGACGGCAGCUGUCUACAACAUCAGCCCAGCCAAUGACAGUCGGAGAACGCUAAAUGGAAAUCUCCAGAAAUAAAUAAUUCAUGUUUUAAAA